rnacentral:lncRNA from 1 species
AUCUUGUCAACAUGAAUNGUGGAAUGAAAUGUGUGGUGGACCAUGUAAAUGGUUUACAAAAACAUAGCUUCAAAUGCAAUUUCCAGAUGAUAUCGUAAGACUUCCUCUCGACGACUUGCUGUAUGAAAAUGACGCCAAAUGCCUGCCUACAUAUUUCGAUUCUGGAAGAUCUAAGACCACUUAUUCGUUGCCACUACAUUUGGGAUAGUAGGAGGAUGGCUCUGGCAGCAAGAUAUGAAGGGAUUUGUCAGAAAAAAAGAAAUUAAGACCACCAUAGUGGACCACAUCAAUUCAUGCAAUAUAGAAAAUUUGGGUUUCAAGGCCACUGAUGUUAACGUGUACAAUUGAACAAGUUACAUCAAUAAUCUCGAAACGCAGUUGGUGAAGCUUAAGGAGGAAAUCAAUUCUCUCAAAGAUGAGAUCGAAGUAGCGACGGCAGCUUUAAAAAGGAAGAUCGCAGAGCCUAUCAUCACUAGUAAAACUCUGCCUAGUGUGCCAAAUCCUUCAAUCAAUUUCCCGCCAACUCCAGAAUCUGAUCUUAAUUUGCAGGAAAGUGAUUUGUCGCCUAACCUUAAUGAAAUCUUCAACAGUAAGGAACUUCGGCCAAUACGACAAAAAAGAAAUGUUGAAAACUGCACAAAGUCAGUAUUCCAAGAGGUUCAGAAUAUUUGUGAAGGCCAUCGCGAGUGAAUUGGUAGUAUCCUUGGACACUGAAUCCUUGCUGAUAAUCCCUGAUGAAAGCGUUCGCAACACUUUAGAUGAGGUAGUCGAUAUUGUUGCAGUGAGAACAAAAAGGAAUCGAGGAAGGUUUAGAGGCAGUUUUGUCAGAUGAAAAAUGGAUGAGCAAUAUGAAGUCAUUGCGACAACCAGACUGGGUAUAAUUGUACUUCAAGCUUGCGUCAAGAAUGCCUGACAAAACAUGGCAGACCAUGUUAAACAUCGCACAACUCGGCCAUAGUGGAAGGUCAUGUGACACUCCAUUACCCUUGACGAAGAACAAAAUCAAAGCCGUAAGAAAGUUAGUUUUACAAAAAGUAAAAGAAACUAUUAAUGCACACAAGGUCACUGGAGCAAGCAAACGAGUUUACGAAGUUGAUCUACGCUCUUUCUUAGCCUUGGCCAUCAGAGAGCAGNGACUCCAUAAACAUGACAAGGAAGAAAUAGAGGUCAAUAUCAAAUUGGAUGGUCGAACUCUUGGAGGGAGAAACCAAGUACUAGUAGGAAGACUGCCAUUGAGCUCUUGGAAAAUUCAAAGCUGCAAAUCUGUGUUUUCACUUGUUAUAGCUAAUUGUGAAGAAAAUAGGAAAGAGAUCACUGCACUGGUUUAGCAGUUGAAUGCUCAAAAGAAUGUCCUAAAGAAGAUGGGAAUGGAAAGUGAUGGCAAGAAAUAUAAGCUGAAGUUUGCAGCUGGACUGGAAUAAGAGAUGAUCUAACUUUUCUUCUUGAAGCAGAAUUGACCAAUGUCAUGCUAUGUGGAUUGCACUGUGAAAUGCGGAACACUGAAUAGCUACUUAGAUCGAAUUAUGGUCAAGUUGCCUGAGAGUCAAGUUGCGCGGAGUCAAGUCACCCGGAGUCGAAGUCAAGUUGCCCGCAAUGUAUGGUCAAGUCACCCAGAUUUUUUUACUUAAGGGAAUUGUCAAGCCACAUAUAUAUACACAUAUAUAACUUAUUUAGCAGUAGUAAAGCUUUAUUAAACAUUUGUAAGGCAUUUUAGAUUAGGUUUCAGCAAUUAUUACGACGUAGAAAAUACUACUGGUUUGGUAACCCUGGGUGACUUGACCACGACUCCACUUUGAUUUCACAAUACACAAACAGAGUCUGAGAGUAAUGGUGUUGCAUCUUAUUGACCCUUCAUCUUCCAUCGAAGUUUUUUGUUUUGGCACAUUAUACGUAAACAUGAUAAAUGCUAGAGCUUUUAAACCCUU